rnacentral:rRNA from 1 species
AUUGAACGCUGGCGGCAGGCCUAACACAUGCAAGUCGAACGGUAACAGGGAUCAGCUUGCUGAUUCGCUGACGAGUGACGGACGGGUGAGUAAUGUCUGGGAAACUGCCUGAUGGAGGGGGAUAACUACUGGAAACGGUAGCUAAUACCGCAUAACGUCGCAAGACCAAAGAGGGGGACCUUCGGGCCUCUUGCCAUCGGAUGUGCCCAGAUGGGAUUAGCUAGUAGGUGGGGUAACGGCUCACCUAGGCGACGAUCCCUAGCUGGUCUGAGAGGAUGACCAGCCACACUGGAACUGAGACACGGUCCAGACUCCUACGGGAGGCAGCAGUGGGGAAUAUUGCACAAUGGGCGCAAGCCUGAUGCAGCCAUGCCGCGUGUAUGAAGAAGGCCUUCGGGUUGUAAAGUACUUUCAGCGGGGAGGAAGGGAGUAAAGUUAAUACCUUUGCUCAUUGACGUUACCCGCAGAAGAAGCACCGGCUAACUCCGUG